rnacentral:rRNA from 1 species
UACAGAGACUGCAAGCGUUAUUCGGAUUCACUGGGCGUAAAGGGUGCGCAGGCGGCCAAGUGUGUUAGGCGUGAAAGCCCGAGGCUUAACCUCGGAAUUGCACCUAAAACUACAUGGCUAGAGUACUGGAGAGGGUAACGGAAUUCACGGUGUAGCAGUGAAAUGCGUAGAUAUCAAGAGGAACACCAGUGGCGAAGGCGAGUCCCUGGACAACUUCUGACGCUGAGGCACGAAAGCUAGGGGAGCGAACGGG